AUCGGAUACAGUGGAAAGAUGUUUUCCAUCUGCAAAGUGUUGCAGUAUAGAUUUGGAUGUACUGUAGCAGAAGUGAGGGGCUUUUCUGGGAGGUGAGAGGAGCGGUAGCUAAGAUGUCACAUGGAGAAGUUACAUCUUAUGGGAGUGUAGAAGACACAGAAAGCGGUUGCUUACAUAGAUGCUGAACCGCUCACAUAGCAGCCAAUACUCAGACUGAAAUGUUACACUUUCCAUAGGGCUGGUGCACAUUUUGCCUCUAAAGACUCAGAAAAACGUAUUUCUCUAUGGACGCUGACAGUAAGCAUCUUACUCCUUGCAUAUUCGGAUGCCCAGAUCUCUUCCAAGGAAGGACUUUGUAGCAAAGUUAACAUAAAGAUACAGAAGUGACUGCGUCCAACUCCAUAGUAUUAACAAAAAACAAAAAAAAGAAACUAAAAACUAAAGAAGUUAUACACGUGUCCACUUGGAAGAACAAAAUGCAUCUGCAACAUAAAAAAUUAUUAUCAUGGACCUAUUAUCAUGGAACAGAAUUAUUUAUUGAACUAAUACUGAAAGUUUAUUUUUUAUUUUGUUUGCGAAAAGGUAUGGUAAAAUAAAAUAAAAAAAAUGUCUGGUA